rnacentral:tRNA from 2 species
GAGCCGUUAGCUCAGUUGGCAGAGCACCUGACUUUUAAUCAGGGGGUCCUCGGUUCGAUCCCGAGACGGCUCACCA